rnacentral:rRNA from 1 species
GCAAUCUACCUUAUACAGGGGGAUAGCCCAGAGAAAUUUGGAUUAAUACCCCAUAGUAUAGUCGAAUGGCAUCAUUUGACUAUUAAAGUUCCAACGGUAUAAGAUGAGCAUGCGUCCCAUUAGCUAGUUGGUGUGGUAACGGCACACCAAGGCAACGAUGGGUAGGGGUCCUGAGAGGGAGAUCC